GACUGGUCCAAGUGCUUGUGUUUACAGCUAAUUGAUCAUAGCCAGUUACAGAUUUCUUUAUUCCUUCUCUUCUCCCACGGCUUCACUUGACUUAAA
rnacentral:Y_RNA from 1 species